GUGCAAAUGAUGGAGAAAAAUCACUAUUUGUGAGGGAAAAAAAAAUGACAUGAACAAAGGAACCACUGAUGCAU
rnacentral:snoRNA from 1 species